AUUUAAAUAGUUUAAUAAAAAUACUAAUUUGUGGAAUUAGAGAUAUAAAAAAUUUAUUUUAAAUU
rnacentral:tRNA from 1 species